rnacentral:lncRNA from 1 species
CCGUGGCAUUUUUUGAGCGAAUGGUUCAAAAAUGAUGAUAUAACGCCAUUUCAAACCGCUCAUGGGAGGAUACUGUGGGAUUAUCAGGCUGAGAAUCCAAAAUUCAAUCAGGUUGCUAACGAUGCCAUGGCUAGUGAUGCGCGGUUGAUCAGCAGUUUGGUGGUUAAGGAGUGUAAGAGUGUGUUUGAGGGGAUCAAUUUACUUGUAGAUGUUGGUGGUGCCACGGGACCUGUGGCUAGGGCUAUUACGGAUGCGUUCCCUCACUUGAGCUGCACUGUUUUAGAUCUACCACAUGUGGUGGCUAACUUGGAAGGGAGUGGCAACUUGAGCUACGUUGGAGGGGACAUGUUCAAAGCAAUUCCUCAUGCAGAUGCUGUUUUCUUAAAGGUAACUAUAUAUAUAUGUAAUUAUUGAAAAAUAUAUAUGUAUGUAUUUAUAUAUAUAUUAUAUAUUUUUUGUGUGUGAGAAAUUUAUGCAUCGUACGUCGUUUAUAUUCAAAGUUAAAGUCACCUACUUUUGUGAAACAUGAUCGGACCUUUAUUUUAAUUGCCAACUUUCUAUAAAUUAAAGGACACAUUUUCUUAAAUUGCCUAAUUUGUUUUUUGAACAAAGUAGCUAGCUAGUCCUUCCAGUAGUCUUUGAAAUUUUAAGUAUUGCUAAAACAAGUUAAAAUGAAAACCAGUGGAUAUUGCAUGAUUGGGAAGAUGAAGAGUGCUUAAAAAUACUGAAGAAAUGCAAAGAGGCAAUUCCAAGCAAGGAAAAGGGAGGAAAGGUUAUCAUCAUAGACAUGGUAGUGGAUAACCAGGAAGGAGACUACUACAGAGCAAGCGAAACAAAACUUUGUUCCGAUAUGUUGAUGAUGGUUGUUGCUGGGGGAAGGGAGAGAACUACGAAAGAUUGGGAAGAGCUCUUUAAGAAUGCUGGCUUUAGUGACUACAAGAUUUCUCCUCUACUCGGGUUGAGAUCUCUCAUUGAAGUUUAUCCUUGACCAAGUCAUGCAUAUAUGACACUACUCUUUAUAAUUAAGCAUAAUAAUACCAAGGAUUCUUAAAUAAACCCAUAUAUCUUUUAUGGAAUCAUUUCAGUAUAAUUUUAAUUUUAUUGCUUUCGAGGAUCUUGAAAUAUGUAAACUCAUUUCGUAUGGAAUCAAUAUUCCAAUAUUUUACUUUUGCUAGAUUGAAAAUAAUGCCUUUUUCUAUUUUAAUUAUCUCAAUUCAGACGUGUCAUUGAUAAUUACUGUUUAUGUUCUGAAAUAUAUAUGACUACAGAAGUUGAGAGAAUCAUGCCACAAAUAAACGUACGGAAAGUAGCUGUAAUUGAUCCAAAAUGUCUAAUUAGCAGUACAAAACUAAUCUGUAAAUUUUACACUAUUAAUUGUAUUAUAAAGUAGCAAUUUGCUGUAUUGUAAAAUUUGGUACUAUAUCUCCACUAAAUGAUAAAUUUUUAAGAUGAAAUUUUGCAUUUUAGUCAUUUAUUGAAUGUUUAGUUCCAUAAUUGAGGUUGAGCGCUUGAACUUAAGCUUGAGCUUGCAUAAGCAUUCUGCCUAUCUUAGUUGCUUAAUGCAGACUUUAUAGGGCAAUUAAUUCUCUUACGGAUUAAUUAGUAGCUUUGUUUAUUCCAAUCGACAUAUUGUAUUUAUCUCAAGCUAGUUGGUAGCCCGUGCAAUGCACAGGUUAAUUGGAAAAGCUAAUUAUAUAUAUUUUGUUAAAAUUGUGGAAGUUUAGAAUAUAUUUUUGCAUGACAUAUAAACUUUAGAAUAUUAACUUUUUCCAAACAAAAAAUUACUAUCCAUAUAAUCAAGAAAUCAAAAAAAAUAUUUGAAUCGAAAUUGGCAAUGUACUAAUUUGCAACUACGUAUUAAAAUUGAAAUACCAACUAAAAUCAUGAAUCAAACCCACAUAAAAAAAACCUAUGUUCGAUCCAUAUUUGUUACAUUUUGAACGGUACCAAAAGCCAAGUACUUGGAUCCUUGAUGAAGGUGCAGAGAGAAGGAGCAUUUCUUUGACAAUCUGAGAUACCCAAUGCCUAGCACCGCCUAGACAAAAUUAACAAAAGUACGCUAUUUUGUACACUUAUGAAGCACAAUAAGAUCUGGGACAAUCAACUUGAAUAGGUUAGUAAUAUUCAGUUCAGAUAAUCCCAAAUAACAAAUUACUAAAGACUGCUCAACUAUUUGUGUUUGUUCACCUAUAGGUUUUAUUUAUGAGAAUUGAUAUUGGUAUCAAUGACAAUAGAAGCAAUAUCCACAAUGUGGCAUUGGUAUAUAGAUCACAACUAAGGUCCACUCCUAGCAAUUUUGCAAACCAAUAAACUUUAAACUUCUGAUUUCUCGUACAUUUUAGCUCAUAAAGUUUGAACUGAAUUAAAAUAAAGACCGUUUCUUAGAUUUCACAAAAUCAAUCCUAAGUGCCAUGACACAGAGUUAGAGGUUUGAUUUUCUCUACAAAAAUCUAAAGAAGACAUGAAAUUCCAAGCCCAACACUUUAUGGGUUAAUUUUGACCAAAAAAUCCAACAAAAAUUGAUAGAUGAUUACUAUAUAACCUCUAUAGGUUGCAUGGAUCUUCGUGGUAGAAAGGUGGUGAUUUCUUAGAGUUGAGAGAUUUAGAAUAAUGAGUCAAAAAAACUCACUCCUGAAUUACAAAAGAUAAUUUACCUUCUUAUAUUGUUUCAUGUACAUUGCGAUCCCAGUAAGCUUUGAAGACUUCAGUCGGUUGUGGAAAUACCUCUUGCAUUUUGAAUUAGAAAAGAGGAACAUGUAAGACCCCAACUUUUAUGAAUAAAGAUUAAUUUUUCUCGAAAUAUAUUUUUGAAUAUUAUGGUGUGAAUUUGAUAUAAUGUUAUAGUUGUGGAUAUUAUUUACAAAUUUUACAAAGUAAGCAAGUGGUUAUAUAAUAUUCGAUUGGUCGGGGAAUAUUCGUUUUAACAGGAAACAUUCGUACGACGGAACAAUCAUUGGUGGACCACAAAACGGAAGUAUUGUCGUAUUUAGAAAAUGACAUAAUUAUCUUUUUAUAAAAAUAACGGCGAAAGUUUUACCGUUAAACUGUUGAACUACCCGGUGGUAAAAGAACAGUAAUAUGCGUGGUUGCAUAGUAGCACACGGUAUUGAUUAUUGAUGCUUACGUGAGAAGUCACUCAGUUAUACUCAAUUAUUGCUAAAGUAAUUGCUGCAUCAUAUCUCUCAUAUUAUUGAUUUAAUUGUUGUCACAGUAUCAUUUGCAUAAUAUUUUAUAUUAUUAAAUCAAUAAUUGAGACGACAAAGUUAUUCAUAUUAUUAUUUGCAAUGUUGACAAUGUCUAGAAAGUUCUGUCAAGGAGAGGUUUGGUCACCUAAUUGCGCGCCAAUAGGGAGAAAUCCUUAUCAGAAAGCCCCAUCUUUCUUGGGAAUGAUCUGGUUGUUAAAUAUUGUGAGAUAUAAUAUUAAUGAUGAAUAAGUUCGUGUUGAUUAAAGAUGAAAUUGAUAGUUCCAUUGUGUUGGGAUUAUUAGUGUUAGUAGAAAUCAACACCUAUUUCGAUAAUAAUGGAUGUCUGGAGGUUAUAUUGACCAAUCGGAUAAUUAAUCAGAUAAAUGAGCAAUUAAUUGCUAUUAAUUCACAUGCUUAUAACUAUGUGUUAACAUGUGUAUACUAUUGAUUCACAUGCAUGUACUAUUAGGGGAGGUAGUGCAAGAUUGAUAAUACUUGCAUGACUAAAUUAAAAAUAGAGUUAUAGAUGAAGGUACUAUACUGUAAUUAUUUUUUUCACAUGAUUGUACUAUUAAGUCACAUGAUUGUACUAUUGAUUCACAUGAUAUACUAUUAGGGGAGGUGGUGCAAGUUUGAUAAUACUUGCAGGACUAAAUUAAAAAUGAAAGAAAGGAUAAAGGCAUUAUACUGUAAUAUUUCGAGCCCCAAAACGUGCAAUUAUCAAAACUAUAUUUUCCUAUAAAUAGAAGCUCAUUCUUCCUUCAUUCUCAUCAAUUCACUAAGACUCACAAGAACAAUUAUAGAGAGAGAAGCUAUAGAGAGAUAGAAGAAGAGUAGUCUGCUACUUCACUACUCCAGUAUCCAGACUUCUUCUGAAGUAAGGAGUAUUAUUUAUUUCAUAUUCUGAAGAGAUACUAUUUUUCGUAUUCAUAUGAAUAUUAUUUUUGUUCAAUAUUCGUAAGGAAUAUCAUCUUCGUUCAAUAUUCAUAGGAAUAUUAUCUUCGUUGGAAUAUUAUUUUCGUUCAACAGUUGUAAGGGAUAUUAUUUUGUUCAGUAUUCAUAGGAAUAAUAUUUUCUUCCAUACUCUGUAAUAUGUGAGUAAUAUUAUUUCGUCUCGUAUUCCUGAUUAUACCAUCAUUCGGUUAAAGUAUUGCUUCUAUAUUCCGUGAAAUUAGUAGAAUAUCCUUAAAAUUUGCGCUUCAUCUAAUAUCGCUUCACAAGGAUAUUUUCUGCACAUUCUUGUUAAAUUUUAAGUUUUUUAUGCUGGAGUACUGUCCAUGAGUACUAUUCAUUUAUACGGUACUAUUCACAAAAGUACUAUUCACGGGUACUAUUCACGAGUACUAUUCAUAAAGUACUAUUCACAGAGUACUAUUCACCCGGAGUAUUAUUCAUGACAAAAAAUUGAUUUCUUUUCGGUCCAAAUCAUUUUUGAUACAUUAUCAUUCUUGAAUUUUACUCUACAAAGCAGUAUCAUGUUGACAAUUUGGAUAAUAUUGAAUUCUGGAUAAAUUAAAUUAUAAAUCUUUAAAAAUUUAAAAAUUUAGCAUUGAACUUGUUUUAUUGAAUUCUUAUAUCAUUGUCAUCAUCCUCAUGUUUAUAUUAUGUUGAAAGUCAUCCGUGGCCUGUACUACAUAGAUGAACUUGGUAUGAUUAUGACCAGGGAUUUUUCGGUAUAAUCAUGACCGUAAUGUUACAAAUGAUGUGGUAAAAGUCCUCAUUGGCCCGUAGUGCAUUGAUGAACAUUUGUUGGCAUGAUCAUGACCAUUGAUGAAUACACGAAUAUCCUUGGCCCGUAGUGCAUGGAUAAUUUGUGGUCGUGAUACUAAAGAAUAUCUUUGGCUGUAGUGCAGGGGUGAUUCGAUGAUGUGAAUUAUUUAUUAAGCUGAGUCUCAGCGAUAAAAGUGAUGAAAAACCUUUUAAAUCAUAGAAGAUAGUAGAUUUUAUGCUCUACUUGACUCUUCUAAUAGAUUGCUUGUUCCGCUGCAGUUAAACUUGAUAUUUAUUAUAUUUUAUCAGUUUAACACUGUUGAAGGCUAACGAUAAUUUAUUCUGCAUUAUCUUAGUCAUAAUAUUUCUUACUGGGCUAGUUGAUCUCACCCUUUUGCUUUCAUUGUUCUCUUCAGGAAAUGAGAACGUAGCUGGGACUAGUUGGAAAAUGGACUGACGGUCCAAAUGUUUGCAUUAGUAGUCCUCACUAUUCAGUGAAAUAGUGUGAUAAUAAUUGUAAUGAGGACUUCAUUUGAGUUUGAAUACUGUCUAUGAGAUAAUAUUCGUGUAAAAACUCUAAGCUACGAUGUUGUCGUAUUGUAUAAAAGAAGUUUGUAUUUGAUUUAUGUACCAUGUAUUUGGCGACCCAGGAUGUGUAUGUAUACCUAUUUUGGGAGCGUCACAGAACACCUUUUCAAUAAUAAAUCAAGGUAAUUAGCAAGUUUAGUAACAGAAUGGAGAGUCAAGCAAAUCAUAUAAACACUAAACUACUAUUACUAAAAAAAACUAAUUAACAACUAAAAUCAAUUAUGAAAUAUUUGUUGAAACAGUAAACUAUAUUCAUUUGUUUUUUUUAUAGGCAAUGGGAAUUCAUUGUUACUCAUCAAAUAUGUAUGCACGUUGUGUAAAAAUGAAUAUAAACUCACGUGGGGAAUGUUUUCUUUGAUUGGCCUAUAAAUUGUUGUUGCGGUUGUGAUAUUCAAAUAUGAGAUUAUAGACAUUUAGGCCAUCAUUAUCUUCGAUUCCAACUGCAAUUGUAUAAUUAGACUUCAUUUGCAUACAUUUUAAUUUAUGUAAUAUUCUACAGGAGUAAUAUAUGACAGAUUUAUUGUGUUAAUAUCACAAUAUGCUAACCACUUGCAAUAGCAAAAUGCCAGCACCUAAGGCAGAUUAUGGGUAUGGUUCAGCUUUAAUUCACAAUGCUGGCAUGCUAUCACAAAUUAUCAAUAAAAAAGUAAGUACUUGUAAUUAGUGUGGCAUCCUGCUCCAUUCCAGUCACCAUGUGAAUGCAAAGAAGAAAAGGAUUACUUAUUAUUAAAUUAGUCAACCAUGAUAGUAAAAUUGCACUUUUUUGUGAUCUAGCUUACGUCUAUUGGUUUUGGGUCAAGUGUUAGAACAAAACCAACUUGUUAAGUAAUUCUCUGUUGGAAUAGAAGAGGAAAAAAACAAAAAAAACUAUGUCAGUAUAAAAAGACAACAAAUACAUCUUAUAAUUAGAAAUUAUGAUUAUAAGAUAUAAAAGAGAGUCGAAAGAAAAACAAAUAAUAGGCUUCAAUGCAACUUCAAGCAUUUAUGAAUUAGUUACUAAGGAACAUGAAUUACGUGCCUCAAUCAUAUUACAAGAAGUGAUUUUUCCCUGAGAUGUAUAAAUUUAUCUAUAUAGCCAUAGUUAUUGAAGAUAUCUUACCUUAAGGAGGUAUCUAGCACACCAGAUAUGAUCUCCAGCUUCAACACCAACACUGGGACCCACUUGAAAUUCCCACUGCAAAAUAAUUUUCAGAUAUCUUGUUAUGAAUACGGGCAGAACUAGUGAUUUGGAAUACGGGUUCAUAUGUUUGGGAAGGAGGGCGAAUGAGGAGAACAGACUUGGCCUGGCAUAACCUCUCCAUUGGUGCCACUUAUAUUAAUUCCAGGAUAAACAAUCUGCAAGAACACAAACUGACUACUAAGUUCCAUUCAAAUUGUAACGUAUCUUAACAAAGAAAUUUUGCAAUAAUAGAAACUCUAAAAAAAUAGAAAAAAUAUUUAAGGCAGAGCCAAAUAUAAUUUAUCAACAAUUAGUAAGAACAUAGAACAUACUUCCAGUCAAAUAAGGUCCAUGAAUUCCGAAAUCGAAGAAAAAGUACUUAGGAUAAGCAAAAAAAAUACAAAAAACUGAAACAGAGCCUAAAGGCUAGAACAUUAUUGAGAGCCUAUAGGAAAGGUAUCGAUGACUAACAUAAAUGAAUUACUUCGAUCUCAGCCUCAUCUUUCGAUGCUGCCUCUUCAACCUCCUCAUUCUUUUUUUCUUCCGUUGCAAAAUCAUAUCCAAUUUCAAACAAUCAAUUUCGUUAUAAAUUUAUAAAAAAUAGUAAAUUCAAUCACAUGGCAUACCAAACCCUAGAACUCAGAUCCAAUCGAUCUACAACACAUAAACAUGUAUACUCGCUGUCACCGAUGAUUAUGACCUUCAAAAGCGUUCUUCUUCGGGAUAGCCAAAUUAUGAUUUGCAAAUGCGGAGGCGGCGGCGGGGGUGGUGGUGGAGUAGGAGGAAGAAGAAAGGUCAGCGAGGCGUUGGACCAAGUGAAAGGAGCGAUAGAAGGGGAACAAGUAUAUGGAUGUGAAAUAGGGGUGAAGGUAGUGAGGAAGAGAAAGAAUUGGGAAAACUGAAGAAAGGAACGAUUUUGUCAAUUGUAGCGUGAAUUUUUUCCAAUUGAAUGAGUUAACUCCUAAUUUAUUUCAAAUUGAGUGAGUUGACUCACCCAAUUGUGUAAUUUAAAGGAUCGGUUGUGAUGCCUUUAUAUAUAAGGAAGUGAAAUGAUGCAUGCGAAUCAUAGGGGUAUCUAGCUCGUAUUUCAUUUACAAGUUUAUUGUUGUUCUUUUGGUAUAAAAAAUACUAGGAAAAAUAAAUAAAUUUUAAUAAAUAAAGUACACAAAUAAAAUAAUAUAGAAUCAUAUAACCAAAGUUGUCGAAAUAGCGUGAGGAAAGGAAAAUGCUUUAUUAAGGUGAUCAUCGGGAAGAGAUCACUUCUCAAUCUAUUGUAACGAGUCAAACUUUUAUAAGUUUUAAAUCUUGGUCAUUUACCUUUCCUGUAUUACAUCAUAUUCGAUGUUAUAAAAAUAUGCGGAAUAAUUUAAACUUUUUCAAUCUCUUUUAAAAAUAAAUCUUUUAUUAAUUGCUUAACUUAAAUCAAUUACAUAUCCUUGAAUCAAAUUAUGUUAUGUUUCAUUCUAUUCGAAUUACUCUAUAAAUCUUUACAUCUCGAUUCAAAUUCCUCUAUGUAUUACAUAGAACAACUUAACAUGUAUUACACAUCGUAAACUACUAUCAUGUACAUCCACUACAAGAAAAAGGCCUAACAGCGACCAAUACUAUCAGCGACCACACCAUCUGUCGCUGAUAUUAGUAACAGCGACCGCCAUCUGUGACCAAUAUUUAAUCUAGUCGCUAUAUUUUAACAGCGACCGCAUGCGGUCGCUAGUCAGUCGCUAGUACAAAUUUUCCGCCCAAAAUUUGGCUGGAAAUGUUGGCGCCAAGGUUUUGUGCGACCACUUAAUAUCUACGACCGCAUGCGGUCGCGGAUAAGUCCAUGUCAUUAAAAAUCAGUGACCGCAUAUGGUCGCAGAUAGCGGUCGCUGAUCAAACUUAAUAUUAACAGAUUCAGUCACUCGCUCGAUACAGCAGAGGCGAAAAAAAAGAAGAGGAAGCUCAGACAGAGAGAAGAGGGAGAAAGGGAAGAGACUCCAGCCACCGCCACUAGGACACCGGUCCACCGCCACCAGGAGGUACACCGCCGCACCACGCCGGUAACCCCUUAAUCCCUAAAUCUCUAAAUUAGACCCCUUAAUCCCUUAAUACCUUAAACAGAAUACUAAUCUUGUGAUUAUUAUACUUUAAUCGAUUUGUUUUGAGUUGAACAUUGCAAUAAGGUAGUACUAUUAGAGUAAACAUUGUCAUUAGAGGAACUCAAUGUUAAAUGAGUUGUGUGAGGGCAUAUAUGUUGUUUAUAUAUUUUUUCAGUUAUUUUUUCAAAAAUACUUGACGAGUCACCAACUCAUCAACACAAAUUACCAGCAACUUAAUGAGGACCAUAAUAUAUUUAAUUGAUGAGUAAUAUUGUAGUACUAAUUUAUAAUUGAUUGAUACAUAAUACUUCCUCCGUUCCGAAAUAUAAAACAAUGAUAAUUAUUUUUUUGAAGUCAAUACAUGAAUUUUCUUCAUUUUUAGUUAAAAAAAUGAUAAAUAUUGUAAAAUAUUUAAAAUCAUACUCAUUGUAAAAUUUAUAAUUGNNNNNNNNNNNNNNNNNNNNNNNNNNNNNNNNNNNNNNNNNNNNNNNNNNNNNNNNNNNNNNNNNNNNNNNNNNNNNNNNNNNNNNNNNNNNNNNNNNNNNNNNNNNNNNNNNNNNNNNNNNNNNNNNNNNNNNNNNNNNNNNNNNNNNNNNNNNNNNNNNNNNNNNNNNNNNNNNNNNNNNNNNNNNNNNNNNNNNNNNNNNNNNNNNNNNNNNNNNNNNNNNNNNNNNNNNNNNNNNNNNNNNNNNNNNNNNNNNNNNNNNNNNNNNNNNNNNNNNNNNNNNNNNNNNNNNNNNNNNNNNNNNNNNNNNNNNNNNNNNNNNNNNNNNNNNNNNNNNNNNNNNNNNNNNNNNNNNNNNNNNNNNNNNNNNNNNNNNNNNNNNNNNNNNNNNNNNNNNNNNNNNNNNNNNNNNNNNNNNNNNNNNNNNNNNNNNNNNNNNNNNNNNNNNNNNNNNNNNNNNNNNNNNNNNNNNNNNNNNNNNNNNNNNNNNNNNNNNNNNNNNNNNNNNNNNNNNNNNNNNNNNNNNNNNNNNNNNNNNNNNNNNNNNNNNNNNNNNNNNNNNNNNNNNNNNNNNNNNNNNNNNNNNNNNNNNNNNNNNNNNNNNNNNNNNNNNNNNNNNNNNNNNNNNNNNNNNNNNNNNNNNNNNNNNNNNNNNNNNNNNNNNNNNNNNNNNNNNNNNNNNNNNNNNNNNNNNNNNNNNNNNNNNNNNNNNNNNNNNNNNNNNNNNNNCAAGUAUGCUCAAGUCAUAUGUUAACAUUUAUAAUGUUGUCUGUAGUAGGUACCGUGGUAUCAUGGACCUCUAUUCAGACCGUAGUUGGAUGGCACGACGAAAAUCAAGUGCCCAGAUAGGUGCUAUAGCUGAAUUUAGAGCUGGUUGCCAAGUGUUUUUGGAUUAUGUGUAUAGUCACCUGGAAUGUAUGAAUGGUAAGUCGCAGAUACGAUGUCCAUGUUUGAAGUGGAAGAAUGUAAAUUAUAUGGACAGAGACAUGAUAAACUAUCAUUUACUUGUUUCUGGGUUCAUGAGAAAUUACGAAGAAUGCUGGUGGGCACAUGGGCAGAGAAGAGAUGGUGGCAUCACAGAAGUACACAAUUCGGGCAGUAGUACUCAUCGUAUGAAUGAAAUGGUUCAUGAUAUUGCAGGGCCAGAUUUUGAUUAGGAACAAGGCAGAGAGCAACUUAUGAAUUUUGAUGCCAAAGACUUCUUUAAGUUGUUAGACGAGGGUAGCGAGCCAUUGUGGCAUGGUUGCACCAAACACACUACAUUGUCUACAGUGGUGACAUUACUUAACAUCAAGGCUAAUCACAACAUGAGCCAUGAGUGUUUUGAGUCACUCUUGAAGGCCAUUAAGAGUAUGGUUUCACCAAACACACUACAUUGUCUGCAGUGUUUCUUUCACUCGUGGUUCCUGGUCCUAAGAGUCCUGGAAAGAACUUAGAUGUUUACUUGAGACCUCUUAUAGACGAGUUGAAGCUAUUGUGGGAGGAUGGAGUACAGACUUGGGAUGUUGCAACGAAAACAAAUUUCAACAUUAGGGCAGUGGUUAUGUGGACUAUAAGUGAUUUCCCAGCUUAUGGUAUGUUAGUUGGAUGGAGUACACACGGGAAGUUGGCUUGUCCGUAUUGUAUGGAGCAUACAAAGUCGUUUAAUCUAUCAAAUGGUCGAAAGCCUUGUUAGUUUGACUGUCAUCAUCGGUUCUUACCGGUAGAUCACCCGUUUCGAAAAAAUAGAGAACACUUCAGGAAAGGGAAAGUAGACAAUGAUAUGCCUGCACCGUGAUUGUCGGGAAUGGAGAUGCGAGAUCGUGUGAUGAGAUUGACGGUUAUCCCAUUUGGUAAGAUUGAUGCCACAAACAUAAUCAAUGGGUUUGGCGAAUCUCAUAACUGGGUUCGAAGAAACAUCUUUUGGGAACGGCCUUAAUGGUCUACAGAUUUGAUUCGUCAUAAUCUAGAUGUGAUGCAUAUUGAGAAGAAUGUGUUUGAUAAUGUGUUUAACACUGUGAUGAAUGUUACGGGGAAGACAAAAGAUAACGAUAAGGCACAUUUGGACAUGAAAGAUAUUUGUAAGCGUCCUGGAUUAGAACUUUAUGAAUCUCCUAAUGGUAAGAUUGUCAAACCGCAUGCAAGGUACACAUUGUCCAAAAAGCAAGUUGAAGAUGUGUGCACAUGGGUUAAGUCUCUGAAACUACCAGAUGGAUAUGCGUCAAACAUUGCAAGGUGUGUUACGGGUGGGAAAUUGCAAGGGAUGAAGAGUCAUGACUGUCAUGUGUUCAUGGAGAGACUCAUGCCUAUAGCAUUUCGGGAUCUGCUUGAUAAACCAAUAUGGGAUGCUUUAACGGAUCUUAGUCGUUUCUUCAAAGACUUAUGUUCAAAAUCAUUAAAUAAGAAGGACAUGUCUAUACUUGAGAAGAACAUCAUAGAGAUCACGUGUAAACUGGAAAAAAUAUUCUCAUCUGGUUUUUUUGACUCUAUGGAGCAUUUGCAAAUCCAUCUUCCCUAUGAAGCUCGUGUUGGGGGUCCAUCUCAAUAUAGAUGGAUGUACCCUUUCAAGAGGGUGAUGAGAAACCUUAAGAGGAAGGUGAAGAAUUGAGCUUAUGUCGAGGGGUCGAUAUGUGAGGCAUACAGUUUCGAUGAGAUAUCUACGUUUAUCUCAGACUAUUUUUCGGACGAAGUCUUGACAAAGGCCAAUCGAGUAUCGAGACAUGAUGAUGGGGGAAAUGUUGAACUAAAUGGUCGGCUCUCUGUAUUUGGUCUAUCAGGCCGCGCUUAUGGAAAAGGGAAGCGCAUAUUCCUCUCUGAGCAAGAAUUACAUGGUUUAAUUUAGAAAAAGGGAUACGUAUUGACAGACAUGGAAUCAUCGAUAUUGACCUCCAUAGGUCUGCGUACUCCAACGAACCAUUUGUUUUACUAACUCAAAUAGUACAAAUAUACUACACUCCUAGUCCUGUUAGGAAAAGGGAUAGAUCGCCUACAAAUUGGCAAGUUGUAAUUCAUACUCCCGCGCGUAGUCGUGUAGAAGUAGUUGAUGGGGAGAUUUACCAAGAGCAGAUGCUUUAUAGUCAAACUAUAAUAAAUGUGGAGGACGACAAUGAAGUAAUCAAGUUAGAUGGUGGAGAUGAAUCACAUGAAUUAGAUCCUGAGUCAAUACUUGUGUCAGAUGACAUUGAUACUAAGGAGGAAGAGUUAUUGACUGAAUCUGACACUGAAUUUAAAGCAGAUGAUGGUUAUGAAUCUGCAACACGUAUACAGGAUGAUUCUGAAUCAGACAUUGACACUUGAACAAAUGAAAUGUAUGUUUAGCAUUCACUACUAGAAAAACAAGAAUACGUGACGGAAUUUUGUGACAGUUUUUAAAAACAAUCACAAAAGAUAGUAAUUUGUGAUGGACUUUUUAAGCAAUCACAAAAUAAUAGUAUAUAUGAUGGCUCUUAGUGAUGACUAAUCUUGCCAUCAAUGUAUUAUAAUUGUGAUGGUCAUGUCAAUCACACCAAUUUUUUCACGCAAAAUAAAUUUUCUUUCUGUGACGCACUAAGUCAUCACUUAUAGAGAUACCCUUUUCGUGAUUGCAUUUAAGCUGUCACUAUAUAUUUUAAUGUAAGAAAUAAUCAAAAUAAUAUUUUAUGACGGUCUUGACAAUCAUUAAAAAGAUAGAUUUUUGUGAUGACUUUUAUUUGCAAUUACAAAAAGAAGGUAUUUUGUGAUGGAAUUUUCAAGCCAUCACAAAACAAUAAAAUAUAUGAUGGCUCUCAAUGAUGACUAAUUUUACCAUCAUUAUAGAGUAUUUGUGAUUGCCAUUGCAAUCACUAAAUCUUAUGUGGAAGUAAUUUUGUUUAGUAAGUCAACUCACAUAUAUUUCAUUUUAUAUUUUGUUUUAAAAUUGUAAUCAUGAUCUGGGCUUUGAUGUAGUGGUAAUACUCGUUAUUUAGUUUGCAAAUAGGGGGAGGGUUUGAAUCCUACAAAUAUCAUUUGAUACAAUUAAUAUAGAUACAAUUAAUAAAGUAAAAUAAAUUAUACGUAAAUAGAGAUUCACGUUCUUAUAUUUGAUCCCUAAAGUCUUGUAUUUUUUGUGAUGACUUUGACAAUCACAAAAGAUUACGUGUUAAUGUGAUUGUAUUAAUCAUCACAAAAGCACUAAGCAUUUUCGUGAUUGCCAAAACCAUCACGUAAAACCUUUCAUGAUGGGCGUAUACAAGACGGCCAUUGUGAUGCUUAAAACCAUCACGUAAACCUUUCGUGAUGAUUUUUUUACUUUUUGUGAUGGAUUUUGACCAUCACAAAUGACCACUUUUUUAGUAGUGAUUACAUACUUUUUAUAUCAUUGUCAUGUUUAUGUACUAAACUAUUUAAAUAGAGCUUAGAUGUAAAUUGCUUUUGUUUAUUGUCAUUUUAUAUUCAUAUAUAUACAUGUUUAUAUCACUGUCAUGUUUAUUGUCAUAUAUACAUGUAAUCAAAUAUGACUCAUAAUAACAUCUUGAAAUUUGUAAUAUACAGAUGGCUUCUGAAGCAGCGCAGAAAAAGCGCGGCAUGGGUAGGGGGCCUAAUCAUGUGUCCAAGGCCCCUACUAAUCCGGAUGAUCGGAUUCUUAUUCAGAUUCGCCCUCCUCCAAAUAGCACGUACGUCCCGCAUAUAUCAUUUAUAUAUAAGCAUUUAAGAUUCCAUUUAUACAAGAUAUAUAGAACUGUGAUGUAAAUUGCUUUAAUAUAUCUACUUAUCGUUUAUGUAAAUUGAUGUUAAUAUACUAAUUAAUGUUAAUAUGUUUAUUGUAUUGAAAAUUUGUAUAUUUCUCUUGGUUUGUGUCUUGGGUGCCUAGAAAUGUCCAUAUAUGCAUACCGUCGUGCAUGUGGCUAGUCUAUAUUGUAUGGGAGACUCUGGCGAAUUUUUUUUAAGUAUUAUAAGUAUAAGUUUGAAAAAUGUUCAUAAGUUAUAACUUAGAUGUAAAUUUCUUUAAUAUAUCUACUUAUCGCUGAUGUAAAUUGUUGUAUAUUAUAGUAAUUUUUCAGAUAAUAAGAUCGUCAAGUGCAUAUCAUAGCUGUGUUUACAGAAUUGGCCUACACCUAUGAUUACGUGGGCGAGCACACCUAUCGCCUACAAGGAUGCUGUUUGGGCUGAAUUUCAAGUAUAUUUUUUUUAAUUAUGACAUAUAAUAUAAUAUUCAAAGGAUAAUUGUUUAGUAAUGUUAUUAUUGUUGUUUUAUUUGCAGAAACGGUAUAGAUGGGAGGACGCGCAGGCUUCAGUGAUACAGACAUUAUUCUGGUAGAAGUGCGCGAUCCGCACCCAAGACAAUUUGAACAAAGAAAGACAAAAAGCCCUUCACAAUACCGAGAUCGACCAUCCAGGCAAGGGAGAGGAUUAUAUGCACGAGCAUAGCCCCUAGUGGUGCACCCAGUCCAUAUGGGCUGAGAUGUGUGCCCAAUGGAGAGCUGAGAGCUGGGUGAAAAGACGAAAGACUGCCUCCACCAACAGAUCCUCGGGUGUACCCGAUGGCGAAAAGGCUAAAGGGACAUACAAGGGCGGCAGUAUUUCACAGUUACAGCAUAUCACUGCUAGGGUACGUAUUUACAAGUUUUAAUAUGUUUACAAUCAUGAAUUCUAGAAAAUAUAUCACAUUUUUACUUAGUAAUAUUGUGCUAUUUUUUGUAUAGGAGUCUCAGUCUCAAGGUACACCUAUCCAUUGGCUGGAUGUGUACGUGGCACCCGUGAUGGUCUGCCUGAUGCUAUCCAGAUAUCGGUAAUAAGUUUUAACAACUUGAUCUUGUUUAUCAAUGCUUACAAAAUUUAUUUUUAACUAUUUAAUUGUUAACAUGAUGACAGGAUACUUAUAAGUGUUUAUUGAAUGAACGCUAUCCUGAAGGCACUCCACGUCCGACUAUUGAUCAAGAGCUAUGGGAGAGGGCAUCUGUUGUGAAGAAGAACUACAUUAAAGGUCAAGGACAACGACGACGCCCAUCCUUCAGUGGCUCAGGCAGCUCUGCUACCCAGUCUUCAUAGUCAUCGAGUCAUCCAACUGUUCAUACUCCGGCUGACUGUGUGAGAGCUAUAUGUCAAGAUCGAAAUCUUUUGAAGAUACUGGGCGGGCAUCUGGGGGCUCUUGAUCCUAAGGAGUUAGCUGAAGCAGUAGCGACAGCAGUAGCAGGAUAGCAUGGGGAUAUCGACGAGGUAUAAAAUCAAUUUGUUGUAUAUAUUGUCGUAAUAUAUAUCAGUAUCAACAUAGUUACUAUAUUUGUAACUUAUUUUAUUAUUUUGUUAAUUACAGGGUGAUCAAGGAGGCGAUGAUGCUUGACGUACCUAUUUUAGAUCAGUUUUAUAGUUAUAGUAUAAGCUUGUACUUGUAUAUUCAUUCUUUGGAUGUCUGUAUGUUACUUAAACAUUAGAUUUGUGGUUAUUUAUUCAAUUCAUAGCGGUUUUUAAACAUUAGAUUUGUGGUUGUUUAUAUACUAGCUAGUUUGGUGGACGAUGGAUGUUUAUAUUGUUGUGUAUGUGUGUUGGGAUAUAGCAGGUACAAAACAGGUACAGUUUUUUGGGAAUUAUGCAAAACAGCAAAAAGCUGUUUUUCAGUUUUUUAGAAUCAGCGACCGCAUGCGAUCGCUGAUAUCUAUUAGCGACUGAUAGCAUUUGAGGGUACCAGCGACCGACGUCAGUCGCUGCUAGUGUUCGCAGACACGUGGACCACGUCAGCCUUUGGCUCUGAGACAUGCUGACUCAGCUUAGCGACUGACAUGACGAAUUCGGUCGCUAUACGCGAUCGCAGAUAUAUCGGUCGCUACUAAUGGUCGCUGAUGUGCAUCCCAGCGAUCAGAUUUUAUGCGACGACUAUCAGCGACUUCACUCGAUCGCUAAUAUCUAUCUGCGACCAUAUGCGGUCGCUGAUACGCGGUCGCUGAUAGACCCUUUUCUUGUAGUGAUCUCCUAUAACCUAAACAUGGUUCAAGAACAUAUAUUUAAUUAAAUAGAACAAUCUCCUUCGAUACUAUUGAACUUUAUCAAUCAAGUAGCACAUAACCUUUACCGUGUGUCCUUAACCUGCAAAGUGGUUAUUUGCAAGGGUGAGCUCGACAGUCCAGUACUUCUAACAGUUUUCAUGCAACACAUAACAUAUAAUAACAUUCUCAGUUCAUGCAUUCAUAAUCAGUUAAUAUUUAAUACGCAUGUUACUUUGCACAUAACAGGCAUAUAGAUUCACUUUACAAUCAUAUCAUCAAAUCAACUUCCACAUUUCAUAUAUAUCUCAAAUCCAUUUCAUAUAUAUAUAUAUAUAUAUAUAUAUAUACACAUCAACAUUCUCAUAGCAUAGUAUAGCUCAAUUAACAGUUAUAGACAAAUAGGAACUGGAAGACUUGCCUGAUUCGUAGUUUAUCAACUACGACUUAACUGCUUAAAGCUUAUUUGCACUGCGUGUAUCCCUACACAGUUAUAUAAUCAUGGAUUCAUACCCAUCAGUCAUAUAUUUCAUACGCUCUUAAUGUAAGAACAAAUAUUGUUUCCUAACUUGGUUUCAUUUUUACUUGAACUUAGGAUAACCAUGAGACUAGCUCAUUUUAAUAUCAUAUUUAUCUAAACAAUCGUGUUUCAUAUCUUGUAGUCCUUAAGGACAAUAUAUAACCAUAACUUAAGACCAUGCAGUUAACAAACUGCUCUUGGUAACUCUGCAGAACAGCGCGGCCGCGCUGCAUUUAAGCUUGGGAGUGGCGCGGCCACGCUACUCCCUGCCAAAACCAGACUUAGGCUUUUUAUUGCCAAACAUAAUUCCUAGCAUGACAUAUAUUCUGAUACGUAAUGUAAACAUACAUCAAGUAGUGUAAGACCCCAACUUUUUAUAAAUAAAAUCGAAUUUUCUCUAUUUAUUAUUGUGAAUAAUAAGGUGUUAAUUGGAUAUAAUACUUUGGUUAGGGUGAACUGUGCAAAUUUUGCAAAAUAAGCAAGUGGUUAUAAAAUAUUCAUUGUUGUCGGAGAAUAUUCGUUUGAUCGUGGAAUAUUCUUGCUGUCGGGGAAUAUUCGUACGACGGCGCAGCCAUUUGUGGGCCCCAUAACGAAAAAUGGCCGGAUGAAAAAAAUGACAAGUUUGAGUUAUUAUAAAUAACGACGUAGUUGUUACCGUUAACACUGUUGGAAUACCCAAUGGUUAAAAUACAGUAAUACAUGUGGUUGCACAGUAGCACACGGUAUUGCACAAUAUUUUUGAAUUAUUGAUUCUUACGUAAGAAGGCACUACUCAAUAAUUGUUACAAUAAUUACAGUUCAAUAUUUUAUUUUAUUAAUUCAAUAAUUGCUACAUUGAUAUUUUAUAUUAUUGUUGUUCCAAUAAUUGUCACUGCACAGUAUCUCCAUUAUCAGAUCAAUAAUUCAUAUUAUUUAAAUAAUAUUGUUAGAUAGCAUUAUUGGCAAUGUCUAAGGAAGUUCUGUCUAGAAAAGAGGUUUGGUCACCUAAUUGCGCACCAAUAAGGAAAAAUUCUUAUCAGAAAGCCCCCUCUUUCAUGGGAACGACCUGGUUGUCAUUAUUGUGAUUCAGUAAUAUUAUUUGUGAAUAAUUAAUUAUUGAUUUAUAUGAUAAGGAAAUAUUUAUUUUAUGUAGAUAUAAAUAAUGGAUAUAUUUAUUGUGGUUAUAAAUGAUGGAAUUAAUGUUGAGGUAUUUUAUCAGUAUUUUGUCUGAAUGAAAUUAUUAAAAAUCGUCCGUAUGUUGAUUUCGGACAUUUUCUGUUUGGAAAUUGGAAAAACUUUCUUCUACAAAGUUGUAGAGAAUUUAAUUUCCUAUGAAAUGGACAUAAAAUUCGUAUUUUUCUGAUAAAGGGUUAUUUAUUAUGAAUUAUUGAAGUUUCAGAAAUAAAUGUUUUUAUUAAAAACAUGGUGGGCCCCACUUUUGGUUGGUGAGAAAUGAAAUGUGCUGAAAUUUUAUUUUAAAAGUGGUGGGCUUGAAUAGUAGCAGGUAAAGCCAUCAGGUAGCUGGUUAGUCUGCUAUGACGUUCUAACCAUUUUUCCUAUAAAUAUGGUGCUUAGUUAGAAUUGAAAUCACACCAGAAUCAUAAGCUUUCUCUCUCUAUAUUAUCGAGCUUAUUUUGUGAGUAUUUGGAUACUUUGUGAGUUGCUAUUCAGUGCAAGUUUCCUUCAGCCUUAUACCUGAUAUUUAAGCCGAAAGUACUGUUCUUUUGAGGUAGGGGAUGUUAUUUUCUUCGUAAAUGAUAUUAUUUUCUUCAAUAUUAUUAUGCCAAAAUAUUGAUAUGAAUUUUAUUGUGGAAUUUCUACCUUUUUGUGUUGGGGUUACUAUUCACGUGUAUGACACUAUUCACGUAUACGACACUAUUCACAGAAAAAAAUGAAAUUUUCUUUUCUUUGUCCAAGUUGUCUAUUGUGGUUACUAUCUUUGAUUGUAUCCAUGUUUUGUUCUUUAUUCUUGAAUUUUGCUCCACAAUUGAUUAUUAUAAGGUAUUUUUGAACUUGGAUAAACUAAAGUACGAAUCCCUAAUCUUUGAUCUUUUAUCUCACUGGAUUCGUUUUCUUUAAGAUAUUUUUCAUCAUCCUCGGUCCUAAAUGAUGAUAUUACUGAAUAUCUUUGGCAUGUAGUGCAAAGAUGAAUGAUUAUCUGAUGAAUAUCUUUGGCCCGUAGUGCAAAGAUGAACAGGUGUUGAGAUGAACAUGACCAACUAGUGAUACAAAUGAAUAUCUUUGGUUUGUAGUGCAAAGAUGAAUAUUUGAUUCAAGAUGUAUAUUGAUUGAUGUUAUAGGGAUAAAAUAUUGAUGAUGGACUUUUAAAUCUUAGAAGAUAGUAGAAUUCAUUCUCUACUUGACUCUUCUAAUGGAUUGCUGUUUCCNNNNNNNNNNNNNNNNNNNNNNNNNNNNNNNNNNNNNNNNNNNNNNNNNNNNNNNNNNNNNNNNNNNNNNNNNNNNNNNNNNNNNNNNNNNNNNNNNNNNGACUAAUGAUAAUUUGUUGUAUAUUAUCUUAGUCAUAAUAUCCUUUACUGGGCUAGUUGAGCUCACCCUUUUCCUUUUUGUUCCAUUUUUUCUUCUUAGGAGGUGAGAAUUUAGCAAGAACUAGCCGGGGUAUGGAGUGAUGAUUCUAGAAAGUUGUUUUAGCAGUCCUCACUAUUUUUGUAAAAUAGUGUAUCAAUAAUUGUAAUGAGGACUCCUUUUGAGUUUGUAUACUGUCUAUUAGACAGUAUUUAUAUUUAAACUCACAUUAUAUGUGUUGUCGUAUUUUGCACGACAAUUGUAUUAAUGAAGUAGUAUUUGUUUCUGUACCAUAUAUUUGGCGGCUUAGAAUGGGUGAUGUAUACCUAUUUUGGGGGCGUCAUAAGUAGGUUCUGAUAUUUCUUCAAGUUCACAUUUCAAAUCAUUUAGUUUUGAAUUACAUAGCUCUUUGUUGAAUUAUUUAUGUCAACAAGGCUUAACAUCUUCUUUUAACAAGGCUCAUUGUUUAUCAGCUUUUAAACCUUAUAUUGGUACUAACAAGCCUUUAUUACGCAUGUUCAGAUGUAUCUAUCCCAUUUACAUAGACAUAACAUAGUUCAUACUAUUUAAAAUAUGCUUAAAUAACUUAUGUCAUGCUUGACUAGUUGAGUGCACAUAUCAUUCAUGUUCAAAGUCAUAAACAACUCUAUAUAUCAUGCUUGCUUAUAAGGUCAUAAUGCAAGUAAUACAAUGUUCAUCGAAGUUAGUUUCUAAAACUUUUAAAUUUCUCUUUAAAACACAUACUAAACCGAGCUUGACAAACUUUUAUGUGCAAUAUAUCUUGAAAUUACAUUCCUUAUCCAUCCGCGCAUAUAACUAGUCCACCAUCACAUGUUCCCAAAGUCGGAAUUUAAAAGACACAAUGUUCGUCAAGUUUUAUUUUCAAAACAUCAAGUUUUUCUUUCAAACCACUUUAAACCAAGCUAUAUCAAUCUAGUAUAUGCAAGGUAACUUUAAACUACAUUUCAUGCAUGUUGAUAUGCGUAUAUAGGGUCCAAGGUCAGAACUCAAAGGACACCAAAUUCAUCAACUUCCGUUUCUCAAAAACUUUGAGUUUUCUCUUAGAAAAUCAUGUUAAAGUAUUCCAUUAUGAUUAAAGUAAUCUUAGUUAUAUGACAUGUCUAUUAUCAUGCAUAGUUAUGUUUUAUCACUUAGAAUAACAUAUUACAUCGUCGGGAGCACUAUACUUGCGUAUGUACUCGCUUGACGCCCUCUGAUGGCCUUCGAUUACGUAACAGUCACAAAGAUGACUAUUUUUACCCUUCCUAACGACCUCAAAUUGAAAAACGUAAAGAACAAAAAUUGUAGGUCUAUUCGUCCUCGUUUUGGAUCAUCUUGAAUCGCCUCAAUCGGAGUCCGUAUGAAAACGGUAUGGUCGUUUUACCAAAAUAGGUCAAAGCAGUCAUAGUUAGCACACAUUGGGCGCGGCCGAGCCCCUUGCUCUCACCAUUCCAGCGCGCCCGCGCCAUUGCCCAGCCCCAGCUGUGCGCCCGCGCGUGGCUUCGCACAGAUUACAGUUUUUGACAUAACUUUCUCAUUUUAAGUCCGAAUUAGUUGGUUUUCGAUUCGUUGGACUCGUUAAACUCUUACCUACUCAUCUACAGAGUAAUUAUAACACUUCAAAAACAUUAAAUAACCCAAAGAUUGAUCCAAAACUCAUAUUUAUCCUAAAUUUUCAUGUUUUGACAAAUUUAGCGAAUUCAUUCACUACGAAUUCGUUUUUCAACCAAAUUGGUUUGUUUAACUUGCGUUGUUUUCGUUUUUAACUGUAUUAACAUCAUCUAGUAACAAUUCAUGGAUUACAACAAUACUUAGCCAUCAAAUUUGUGACUCAAAAGCAACUAUUUCAUUAUAUUACUAAGAAAGUGUAACUUAGGAAAUCAAGAUCAUGUAUGUUAGAAUUAUUACCUCUUAAUGCUUGAUUGGAUAACUAUUGAUCUUCAAUCUUCCAAUCUUAGAUUGCUCUCCCUAAUGGUAACUCACUCUUAUAGGAAACUUAUCAGAAAAUUUAACCAACGUGAAAGAGAAGAGAUGGUCUUCUAUUUAUAGGGAAUUCAUUACCCAGAUAAUUGCUUUGUCUCCAAGAUAGAAUCUAAUGGAAGAUGGAAGGAAAUGGUGGUUAAGGAGGAGUUGGUGGAAAGUUUAUACCAACUCUCAUCAUCAGCCUUCUUGAUUUCAGCAGCAACAAUAGGCUAGGCCAAUGGCCUAUUCACGUGAUGAAGGAAAUGAGACUCACAAAAUGGGACAACCCAUUUGGUUUCUCAGCAUUAGCAAAAUGGGUAUUUAAGAUAUUUAUAUUUACUUUCUUUUGGACUUACAAGCUUACAUUUAAUAAUUUAAUGUUAUUGCUAUAUGAUAAAUUAGGGGUACAUAUACCCAUAAUCAUACAAUCCAUGUAUACUAGUCCGCAUAAUAUUUUAAUUGGGCUAAAUAUAAUUUAGUCGAGUACUCUCAAUCCAUUACUUCAUAUCACACACAAAUAUCAUAAUGAUUAUUAUCAAUCAUCUAUUAUAUUUUUAUUAAUUCCCUUUUAAUAAUUUCAGUUAAACCUUUAUCCUGAUUUAAUUUUAAUACUCAGGCCACACAAGGCUCAUUUAUCUCAUUUACUGGAGUUAUAUAACUCAUGCUCAUAAUCUCAACAAUAAAAUAUUAGGGGUCCAGACUACAUUUGGCUUUUCCCCAAUCUCACUUCAUUUUAAUAUUCAUUUAAUAUAUGUUUGUGUGACACUGGACUAUUUAAUUUCUCUUGAAUAAUUAUACACAUAUAAACGUAUACUUAUAAUACCUUCAUCUACAAAAAUAAUCAUUACCCUUAGAAUCAUUAACCUUUACUCCAUUAUUUAAAUUAUUUAGUUAUAAGUAUAAUUAUCCGAUUGUCCUAAGACAACUUCCUCAAUCUUUAUAUUUAGUCACAUUUUAAAUAUUAAUCUAAUAUAUACAUCUCUAACCAAUUAAUUCAAUUAUAUUGGGUCUCUUCUUUUAUUAAUUACUUAUCUUUCAAACAUUAAUCCUUUUAUAUAUUACAAUACUAUGUAAUAUAUUAAAAAAAAUAUCAAAUACUAAUUAACAUAUUUCUUUCCUCCUCUUAUGCUAAACACAUAUAUUAAUUCACCGUCUUAUAUAAGUGAAUUAAUCCUUUCUAUUUAAUAUAAUACCAUGACAAGUAAUAUAUACAAGGGCACUUACUAUAAUCACGUAUUUCACACGUGUAUUAACUCACUAUUUACUUAAGUAAUUCUUCAACCCCUUACUAUAUCACCAUAGUUAAUUAAGGCUUGAAUAUUCAAAUUAUAUUAUUCCAUAAUAUAACUUCCAAUUUAAUAUAAUUUAACCAAUAUUUAAACUUGUUAGUUAAUUCUCAUAAUUAACUAAUUUAUGCUUUACUAUCUCAAUCUAUCCAGGGAUAGCUUAAGCACUAAUUGAAACUCAUAUUACAUCAUACUAGUUACUAGUAUAUAUAUUCAAGAAAAUGGUGAUUAUUCAUCGAAGAUAUUUAAUGUCACCAACUUACUAUGAUAAAACAAUUCUAUAAAUUAUUUAAUGUCAAUAGAUAAAACAAAUAUAUAAUAAUGAUAUAUAUUUAUUAAACACGACAUCACUUAUUACAUAACUCAUUUUACCCUAUGUAACACAAUACUACAUACCUCGUAACACAUAUUUCUCGUUUGAACCCAUCUCAUGCCUUAAGAAUUUUAUUUACUAAAUUCUUAUUUUCAAAUUUUCUGAAAAUUCGGGUUCUUACAUUCCACGGGUCCCAUCCUACACUUUAGUGUCUGCUGCAAGAGCUGGGCGUCGCCCACCCACCGGAGCAGGUGGUGCGAUUGGAUCGGGUGCCGACCCUUCAUUAUUUGACAAUUUCUUCUGACGGAUCAUAGAAUGGUGCAUGGAGAGCAGUGAUAUACAAUUAUGCACACCAUCAUGUCAACAAAUCUACCAGCUUGCUCAGGAGGUCAUCCACGGUUUCAUAGAUCCUACAUCAUUUGUCGACAAAUUCAUGGGUCUGGUUCGGGAGGAGGCCGUUUGUGUAUGCACGGUUGUCUUGGCUUUCCUCGACAUAUUCACGAGGUAAAUACAAAUAUUGAUGUAUAUCUUUUUAUUUAUAAUUAUAUUGCAUAUAUAAACUGUCAAACUAUUUGACUUAUUGCCUUUCAUUUGUAAAUUGUAACACGUUAUAACUUACAGGACUCGAUUACGAUAUCCGAAGGUCGAUUUCAGCUCGUUUGCCGAUUUCAUAAUAAUUGUCUUUUUAACUUCAUGCAUAUGAAGUCAUGAAUUAAGAAAGUCAUUUAAUACUAUCAUUUACUCCCUCCAUCCCUAAUUAUUUGACGUUUUAGAUAUGGACAUAAAAAUUAAGAUAAUGAUUGAAAAAUAUUAAAUAUAGUACUCAAUUAUCUAUAAUACCCUUACAUCAUCAUUUAUCAUAGUUAUUCAUACUAUCUCUCACACAUUUUUUCAUAAUUAUCUCUUAAAAAAACUUUCAUGCCUCAUUUACUCAUUGGUCUCCCUCUCCAUCCAUCUCCAUAAACAUACGUAAUCAAUUCUUUAGAAAUUAUUUACACUCUCUCUCCCUCAUAAUAUAAAGAAGAGUUUUGUUGGGAUAAGGAGACAGAAAGAGUUAAAAGUAUUAAAAAAUAGACAGAGUAAUGAGGGGAAAUUUUAGAAAAAUUAUCAUUAAUUCUCUUAGAUUUGAACAAACGUCAAAUAAUUAGGGACAAAUAAAAAACUCUAAAACGUUAACUAAUUAGGGACGGAGGGAGUAAGAAUUAAAAUUUUUAUGAAAUUUCGUCACUACCCAUUUAUAGAAAGUUAGAAACUAUUAAUGUAAGAGAGAAAAUUUAUUGGGAGAAUGAGAGAAGUAAGAGGUAAUAUAAGAAAAUAAAUAAUGUAUUCUCUUAAAAAGUUGUAAACGAUUAAUAAAUUAAAAUAAUUUUUUUUUAAAAAGACCGUUAUUAUAGAAUGGAGACAGUACUAUUAAUAUAAAUGAUGUCUAUAUCAUGUUUGCGUAACUGCGGACGUUUCAUAAGUCAACAAUUCUCAGUCUCAUCUAUCUAUUUGUAGGCUUUCAGGUGGAUAGUUAUGAAUUUCAGAACUUUUCUCUUAAUGUCGUCGUCUAAACUAACGUGACGUUAUUAUAUUUGUUGCCUAUAUUUAAUAUUAUAUUUUUUGAGACUAGACAAAAAUUUAAGGGUUAAGUUCAGAUGACCACCUGGGGUUUGGGCGAUUUUUUACUUAACCACCUGUAGUCAGUAAAGCUACAUUUAAACUCCCCACUUUUUGAGUUGAAGUGAAAACGUCACAUUUUCCGUCCAACUUAACUGUGCGUGUAUGUCAGACGCCAAAAGCGCGUGAAAAGGUAAAUAAAACUGUUAAAUGUCCGAAAUACCCCUCUUGGUUUUUAUCAUUUUGUUCUACCCAUUUCACCUCCAUCGCAGACGAGAUUGAAGGCUACCCUAUCAUCGAUUCUCGCUUUAAGGAAAUGAAAUCGACCGAGAUUUUGAUGCGCUAGGGUUAGAGCUAAAGUCGGAUAUCAUUGAAGAAGCAUCUUCGUCUUCAAUUGCGGACGAAAGACUGGUGGUGGAGUUGAUUGUAUUGGGUAAUCUGAAAAUCAAUUUUCCUGGUAAAAUUACAAGGGUUUUGAUUUUUCUCGGGGAAAUCUAAGAAUUUUCGUUGUAUUUGUUGUUUGUGGGUUGAUUGUAUUGGGUAAUCUGAAAAUCUUGAUUUGAAUCAAACGGAAUUUUUUGGACUUUUUGUGAUUUUUGAGAAAUUGCAGGCACGAUUAGGGUUUUAAAAUGGGAGAACCAAUGGUAAUUGAUGUGGACGAGUUGAAUAAGCCUGAAAUGGGGGAACCAAUGGUAACAGUCUCCUCUCUGUUCUCAUCUGCACUGACAAUGACUUAUCUGCGUGAGAUCAUCGGCGAUCCUGAUGAGAAUGUAAAUUUUUUAGGAGAUUUUUAGAUUCUUAUAUAUACUAGUAUAUUUUUCUGUUGUUUUCCAACUCUUAGUUGGUGACUAAAAAGUCUCUUUUUGUGCAGGUAAAGAGGGAGAGAGCAGAACGGGAAGCAUNNNNNNNNNNNNNNNNNNNNNNNNNNNNNNNNNNNNNNNNNNNNNNNNNNNNNNNNNNNNNNNNNNNNNNNNNNNNNNNNNNNNNNNNNNNNNNNNNNNNAAAAAAAAAAUUUAAAAAGGGAGUUGUCAGGGAAAAAGCGCUAUAAAAAAAUAAAAUUAUUAAAUUGUAUAAACCACACAAUUAUUUGAAAUCAAUAAGCAGUAUUAUAACUUAACACAGCUUAAUAGCACAAACAGAUGCAUUCAUUUCCUAGAUAAACCACACAAUUAUUAUUGAAAUAAAAGGAAAUGGAAAGAGGCAGCCAAUAUGCACACAUUUGGAAUACUCAUAGUUAAUACAUUAAGAAAAUAGAAUUCAUACAAUUCUACAUUCCAUUGGCCCUUUAUUAUCUUUCUCUUACAAAUACAAACAAAACCAUCCAUUGAGCAAUAAAAGGGAACUCUACCAUGCGUUCUUUUAAAACACCACUUUAAAAUUAAUUGUACCAAUAUGAUAUUUUGGGAGACCCAUUUUCUUUUGUUAGAAUUAGGACCACACACGCACAUGACAAUAGAGAAUUAACACAGAAAUUUACGUGGUUCUUUAAAUUUGAGUACUCUACAAGCGGUUUGUUAUUUUUAUUGAUGAUUUCAUCAGUUACAUAAAUCUUUACAAUAGAUAUUAUUUAUAGCUACUAAUUCUAUUCCAACCUUACUUCACAUUAUGACUCAAAUACCCAUAAUGUCCUUUCAACAAACGAACCANNNNNNNNNNNNNNNNNNNNNNNNNNNNNNNNNNNNNNNNNNNNNNNNNNNNNNNNNNNNNNNNNNNNNNNNNNNNNNNNNNNNNNNNNNNNNNNNNNNNUUUGGGAAUUGAUUGAGGGAUUGGAUUGGUGGCUAGAAGGACAGGGCAAUAUGAGCAUUAUUCUAAUGACUAAAGGGUAUUUCUGGAAUUUCCCUGAAAUCAUGUGCCUUGCACAUGACUACUUUCCAGAGAACCCUAUAAAUACCCCUUCCAUUCCAUUGGGAAAGGGAUACACAAGACUUGGACCCUUUUGGUGACUUAAAGGCUUGAAUUUUUCCACCUAAAAGCACUAAAGAGUUUAGACUUUCUCUUCAGACUCAAGACUCAGACUCUCAGAAGAUAAAGAAGACCCUUUUUGGUGACUUAAAGGCUUGGAGAUUCCACCUAAAAGCACCAAAGGGGUUUGGACAUUUCUCUAAACUCGAAGGACACUCAAGAAGGCUCUUGGAAUCCCAAUAACCCUAACACGGUUCCCGGAUUCUAGGGGUUCUGCCACGCGUCAUUGAAGUAAUAGCCCACCUGUCGUUCCCCCUUCUUCAAUCAACCAAUCAAUUCCGUGCUCUUUGUGGAUUUCUCUCCUCCUCAGCCAACACGAAACUCUAACCCUAGCAAGGUACGAUUUCCUUGCCCACANNNNNNNNNNNNNNNNNNNNNNNNNNNNNNNNNNNNNNNNNNNNNNNNNNNNNNNNNNNNNNNNNNNNNNNNNNNNNNNNNNNNNNNNNNNNNNNNNNNNNNNNNNNNNNNNNNNNNNNNNNNNNNNNNNNNNNNNNNNNNNNNNNNNNNNNNNNNNNNNNNNNNNNNNNNNNNNNNNNNNNNNNNNNNNNNNNNNNNNNNNNNNNNNNNNNNNNNNNNNNNNNNNNNNNNNNNNNNNNNNNNNNNNNNNNNNNNNNNNNNNNNNNNNNNNNNNNNNNNNNNNNNNNNNNNNNNNNNNNNNNNNNNNNNNNNNNNNNNNNNNNNNNNNNNNNNNNNNNNNNNNNNNNNNNNNNNNNNNNNNNNNNNNNNNNNNNNNNNNNNNNNNNNNNNNNNNNNNNNNNNNNNNNNNNNNNNNNNNNNNNNNNNNNNNNNNNNNNNNNNNNNNNNNNNNNNNNNNNNNNNNNNNNNNNNNNNNNNNNNNNNNNNNNNNNNNNNNNNNNNNNNNNNNNGGAUUGGAUUGGGUUGGGUUGGAGGCAACUUUUUUAAUUCCUAGGGUUGCUAGCUUAAAUUUGUACAGAAGUUGGGUUAGGCUGAUGGAUAAAUACCUUAAUUUAUUUGGGUUAGGCUGUACAGAAGUGGGGGUUGGCUUGGGGCUGGGGGCUGGUGACUAGGCCUGCAGGUCGGGCCUUUCUAGGCUAUGCUCAAGCCUUUUUCGAUACCAGGUCAGGCCACAUGAUAAAAAAAAAUGAGGUCUCUUUUGGAUUCUUUAGGCCGGUCUUUUUCAGUCCAGGCCUAAGCCGGACCAAGACCAGGCCUCAGGUCUUUUUGUGCAGCUCUAAAUUAAUACCCUUAAUAUUAAUUGAUAUAUUUUUAUUCUGUAUGCAUAUUUAUGGAAUAUCACUAGUCAUGUGGAGAAAAUUAUGCAAUUAAAUAAGAAUUUUAAUAUGAAGAAUUUUUUCAUUUAUCCACUUUAUUAAUAUACGCAAAAAAAAUCUGGAAGUUAUUGAAAAUAGAAGCGUACAAAUGUUUUAUUUUUUUAAAAAAAAACGUUUUAUAUUGACAAAACCAAAAAGCAUUAAAAGAAAAUUUUGUAAGCACCAAUAUCGCUUCAAAUCGUACAAAUGAACAUGUAUUAUGGCAAGUGAUAUAGUACUUGUUAUUAAAUUAAAAUUGCAUAAAUGUAACAAAGCAAAAGCUGAAAGUCAAAUAGGUUGGAACAUGAAAACCUUAAAAUGACAUGCUUGUAAUAAAAUAAUAAUAAAAAUAUAAUGUACUGGUGUUGAAUUCUUAGAAAUAAUUUGGGUCAUUUUUAAAUUUAAAAGUAAUAUAUUAAGUUUUAAUAAAUUUUAUUUUACCUGUGUAUAAUUUGUGCACAUAAAAUUAUGAACUUAUAAUUUUUUUAACUUACAAUUUUUAUAGUUGUUUGUAUUAUAACUAUAUAAUUUCGGACUGAUUUUAAAUUAUAGAAUUUUACGAAUUAAUUUUAAAAUUUUGAAAUGAAUCUCUACUUUUAAUUAAAACGUUCUAAAAUUAUAUUACUUUUAGAAAGUAAUAUUAAUAGUUUAUAUUACUCUCUCCGUUCCAAAAUAUAAGCUCAUUAUUGAUUUUUUUGAAGUCAACUUAAUGCAUUUUUAAAUUUAAAACUAAAAUAUUUUUUAUUAAUUUUAAUCGAUACAAUAAUGAUUAUCGUAAACUAUCUAAACAAUACUAAUCAUUGUACAAUUUAUAAUUUCAUAAUUAUUAAUAAAUCGUUUAAAUUUUAAGUUUUAAAAAUGUUUCAAAUGACCCUUCAUUAUUUGACAAUUUCUUCUGACGGAUCAUAGAAGGGUGCAUGGAGAGCAGUGAUAUACAAUUAUGCACACCAUCAUGUCAACAAAUCUACCAGCUUGCUCAGGAGGUCGUCCACGGUUCCAUAGAUCCUACAUCAUUUGUCGACAAAUUCAUGGGUCUGGUUCGGGAGGAGGCCGUUUGUGUAUGCACGGUUGUCUUGGCUUUCCUCGAUAUAUUCACGAGGUAAAUACAAAUAUUGAUGUAUAUCUUUUUAUUUAUAAUUAUAUUGCAUAUAUAAACUGUCAAACUAUCUGACUUAUUGCCUUUCAUUUGUAAUUUGUAACACGUUAUAACUUACAGAACUCGAUUACGAUAUCCGGAGGUCGAUUUCAGCUCGUUUGCCGAUUUCAUAAUAAUUGUCUUUUUAACUUCAUGCAUAUGAAGUCAUGAAUUAAGAAAGUCAUUUAAUACUAUCAUUUACUCCCUACAUCCCUAAUUAUUUGACGUUUUAGAUAUGAACAUAAAAAUUAAGAUAAUGAUUGAAAAAUGUUAAAUAUAGUACUCAAUUAUCUAUAAUACCCUUACAUCAUCAUUUAUCAUAGUUAUUCAUACUUUCUCUCACACAUUUUUCCAUAAUUAUCUCUUAAAAAAAACUUUCAUGCCUCAUUUACUCAUUGGUCUCCCUCUCCAUCCAUCUCCAUAAAGAUACGUAUUCAAUUCUUUAGAAAUUAUUUACACUCUCUCUCCCUCAUAAUAUAAAGAAGAGUUUUGUUGGGAUAAGGAGACAGAAAUAGUUAAAAGUAUUAAAAAAUAGACAGAGUAAUGAGGGGAAAUUUUAGAAAAAUUAUCAUUAAUUCUUAGAUUUGAACAAACGUCAAAUAAUUAGGGACAAAUGAAAAACUCUAAAACGUUGACUAAUUAGGGACGGAGGGAGUAAGAAUUAAAAUUUUUAUGAAAUUUCGUCACUACCCAUUUAUAGAAAGUUAGAAACUAUUAAUGUAAGGGAGAAAAUUUAUUGGGAGAAUGAGAGAAGUAAGAGGUAAUAUAAGAAAAUAAAUAAUGUAUUCUCUUAAAAAGUUGUAAACGAUUAAUAAAUUAAAAUAAUUUUUUUUUAAAAAAAGACCGUUAUUAUGGAAUGGAGACAGUACUGUUAAUAUAAAUGAUGUCUAUAUCAUGUUUGCGUAACUGCGGACGUUUCAUAAGUCAACAAUUCUCACUCUCAUCUCUCUAUGUGUAGGCUUUCAGGUGGAUAGUUAUGAAUUUCAGAACUUUUCUCUUAAUGUCGUCGUCUAAACUAACGUGACGUUAUUAUAUUUGUUGCCUAUAUUUAAUAUUAUAUUUUUUGAGACUAGACAAAAAUUUAAGGGUUAAGUUCAGAUGAGCACCUGGGGUUUGGGCGAUUUUUUACUUAACCACCUGUAGUCAGUAAAGCUACAUUUAAACUCCCCACUUUUUGAGUUGAAGUGAAAACGUCACAUUUUCCGUCCAACUUAACUGUGCGUGUAUGUCAGACGCCAAAAGCGCGUGAAAAGGUAAAUAAAACUGUUAAAUGUCCGAAAUACCCCUCUUGGCUUUUAUCAUUUUGUUCUACCCAUUUCACCUCCAUCGCAGACGAGAUUGAAGGCUACCCUAUCAUCGAUUCUCGCUUUAAGGAAAUGAAAUCGACCGAGAUUUUGAUACGCUAGGGUUAGAGCUAAAGUCGGAUAUCAUUGAAGAAGCAUCUUCGUCUUCAAUUGCGGACGAAAGACUGGUGGUGGAGUUGAUUGUAUUGGGUAAUCUGAAAAUCAAUUUUCCUGGUAAAAUUACAAGGGUUUUGAUUUUUCUCGGGGAAAUCUAAGAAUUUUCGUUGUAUUUGUUGUUUGUGGGUUGAUUGUAUUGGGUAAUCUGAAAAUCUUGAUUUGAAUCAAACGGAAUUUUUUGGACUUUUUGUGAUUUUUGAGAAAUUGCAGGCACGAUUAGGGUUUUAAAAUGGGAGAACCAAUGGUAAUUGAUGUGGACGAGUUGAAUAAGCCUGAAAUGGGGGAACCAAUGGUAACAGUCUCCUCUCUGUUCUCAUCUGCACUGACAAUGACUUAUCUGCGUGAGAUCAUCGGCGAUCCUGAUGAGAAUGUAAAUUUUUUAGGAGAUUUUUAGAUUCUUAUAUAUACUAGUAUAUUUUUCUGUUGUUUUCCAACUCUUAGUUGGUGACUAAAAAGUCUCUUUUUGUGCAGGUAAAGAGGGAGAGAGCAGAACGGGAAGCAUUGGGAGCAUUACCCCUCUACCAACGCACAAUUCCCUAAACUUGUCAUUUGUUGUGUUGAUUAACAGAUAAUCUUCUCAAGUUAAUAAGUGAAUUAUAUUUGGAGAGGUGUUUAGGGCUAUAAAAGUCGACCUUUGUUAAGGUUUUUUCUAUAUAUUGAGCAUUGUUAUGGCCUGGCUUGGCAGGCAUUUAUCGCAAAUAAUUGUUUGUUCAGUUGUGGAUUUUGAAAUUUUCUGCUUAUAUAGUGUUGAAAUAUUUUUCAUACCAUAUUGCUAUAUAUAUAUUCCGUCCAUUUUUUGGACCACUAAAAUAUGUAGAUUAUUGAUGUUUGGUGAAUAUACAGGGGAGGGAAUGGACUAUAGGCAUCAUGAUGAUCAUCCAAUAAAUUCAAUAAGAAGGUCGUUCGGAUGUAUCCCUAAUAUUAUAGUCUGGCUUUCAUUUUAUUGUCUGCUUGUUGAGAUUAUACAAAUUCGUUCUUGUGUUUUUCACCUUUUGGUAUUAAAACAGGUUUUACCCAAGUGUGGCUUUUGGGUUUUGAAAUGGGGAAACCAAUGGUAAUUGAUGUGGAGAUCGAAUAUGUUCUUAUCUGCAGAGUCUCCUUCCUUCUCUCUCCUCUCUGUUCUCAUCUGCAGAGAUCGAAUAUGAACAACGAAGGCAUAUUAUAGACAAAUUGAAGAAUAUUUGAAGAAAAUGUAGUAAUUUAUAAGGAAGGAUUCCAUUAGAGAGGCUGUAAUAAGAAUUCCCUUCGUCAACGGUUGAUACCUUCUCAAUCUCGCUUUGCAUCUCUCUCACACCGCACAUUGUUCUGGUAAAAGACACAUUUUUCUUCAUAUUCUUAUUCUUUGCCAUUUCCUAUAAAACUCCUCUUUCUCUCCCAACCUCUGUUUCGCUCUGUAUCUUCUUUCAUCUGCAGUAACUAAUUGAAAAUUUAUAUUAUAUGCUGCAUAAAAUUGAAAACCCUUUAACAGGAAUUUAAUCAAGAUUACAAACAAUUGUCCAAGAAGAAUUGUCAGAUUAAGGUGUUUACUCUGCUACGGAUGAGCUCUUGUUUUUUGUUUGUUGGAAAAACAGAGAGAGAAAUGAACUUAACAGAGAGAGAUGCUCAAGAACAGCAUUUUUGUUUUUGUUUAAAUGAUUUUGCAGCUGGGUGUUUUAAAGUGAGGGUAAUUAAGUCAUUAGUCAAAUAAAGUAACGGAAUUAAGACGGAAAGCACUUUUUCACUUCAACUCAAAAAAUGGAGAGUCUAAAUGUAGCUUUACUGACUACAGGUGUUCAAAUUUCAGGUGGUCAUCUGAACUUAACCCAAAAUUUAAAACUGCUCAUAUUACUUUUCCUAAAUUUGACUAUUCCCGGUCAGUUAUUAUUGACCAAAGGCCCUACCAUGGGGUAGCCGCCAGCCCUAUGCAAAAAAAAACAAACAGAGGGUAUAGUUGGUAUUUUCUCAAAACCGGUGAUACCGAACCGACUGGAUUGAUAAUUCCUUGAACCGGUGCAAUACUGAUAAAUUUUUUUCAGUAUUUAUCAGAUCGGGAACGAUAUUCAUUUUUGUAAGUUCAGUAUAUACCAAAUCGUACCCAUUUUAUCGCUUAAUGAAUUAUGGGUCACAUUUUUGACAUUUUACAGGUUGAAAUCAUGAAAGAUUGAGAUUUGCAUGUGUUUCAAACUCUGAUAUAAACGGUAAAUACCCGAACUAUAUUUGCAUUGAACCGGUAUUAGUAUGCCAUUUUUGAUAAAAUUGGUAACCAAUUCGGACCGAUUCUAUACAAUAAUCAAUAAUGUAUAGUUGCACACUCCUAGUAGCAGCCACCUUUAGUGGCAGCCACCUUUAACCUUUUCUUUACAAGUGAAAUCUCUAUAUUGGUUAAUUGCAUAUUUGAUCUCAAAAUAUAUAUUGUUUUUCACUUCAUACCCCGAAAUAUUAAAACUCUCAUUUAUGUCUCCGAAGUAUUAAAUUAUUGUUAUUUUGUUAUUAAUUAUUUGGGUUAAAUUGAUUGAGUUAAUUAUUUUAUUUGAGUUGAUAAUUUUAUUUGGAUUAAUUAGUAGGUUGAUUAUUUUAUUUUGUGUUAAUUAUUUGCUUAAUUAUUUUAUUUAGGUAAUUUAGGAGUCAAAUAUAGUUAAAUAUGGUCAAUGUGUAUUUGUAUUCUUCGUGAAAACACGUGUCAAUAUUCCAAUGACUAAAUUGGCUAGAAAUAUGGUCUACCGUGCUUAUUGAACUUAACAUUGGUGAGCGAUAUAGAAGGAAUUAUAUUUCGGGCUAUGAUACGUAAAAUGAUAUAAACAUUGGGGUCCGAUAUCCAAUUAACCCUUUUCCAAUCUAUAAUCUAUUUAUAUCCAUGCCUGAACACUACGAAAACGCACAUUCUCUCAAGUAUACAUCUAUUUGAAUUAGGAGCAUCAACUGAGAAAAAUAAUCAGAUAGCAAUGACGAGUAACGGUGAACAGAAAUCUAGUGAGAUACUUAAAGCUCAAGCUCACAUAUGGAAUCACAUGGACAACAUCGUACAUUCCAUGUCACUCAAUUGCGCCAUUCAGCUCGAUAUACCGGAUGUCAUCCACAACCAUGGCGGACCAAUGACGCUCUCCGAGUUAGUGGAGGCCCUGCCUAUCAACAAGGCAAGAGCGCCGUAUGUCUACCGCCUCAUGCGCAUCCUAGUUCAUUCCGGCUUUUUUCUCAAGCUAAACGUACCCAAAAAUGAUCUAAAAGAAGAAGAAGCUUAUUUGCUUACACCUUCUUCUCGAUUCCUACUAAAAGACGAGCAACUUAGCAUAAGGCCACUUUAUCUGGCCAUGCUGGAUCCGAUCGGUAUAAAGCCGUGGCAUUUUUUGAGCGAAUGGUUCAAAAAUGAUGAUAUAACGCCAUUUCAAACCGCUCAUGGGAGGAUACUGUGGGAUUAUCAGGCUGAGAAUCCAAAAUUCAAUCAGGUUGCUAACGAUGCCAUGGCUAGUGAUGCGCGGUUGAUCAGCAGUUUGGUGGUUAAGGAGUGUAAGAGUGUGUUUGAGGGGAUCAAUUUACUUGUAGAUGUUGG